GUAGUACUCCCUCCGUCCGGAAAUACUUGUCGGAGAAAUGGAUGUACCUAGAUGUAUUUUAGUUUUAGAUACAUGCAUUUUUUUACAUUUCUCGGACAAGUAUUUCCGGACGGAGGGAGUAGUAA
rfam:Triticum aestivum genome assembly, contig: Triticum_aestivum_CS42_TGACv1_scaffold_513384_6BS